GGUGAACCAGCGGAGGGAUCAUUG
rnacentral:rRNA from 6 species